rnacentral:rRNA from 1 species
UACGAGGGGUGCAAGCGUUGCUCGGAAUUAUUGGGCGUAAAGGGUAGGUAGGUGGUCUCGUUUGUCUGGGGUGAAAGCCUUGAGCUCAACUCAAGAAGUGCCCCGGAAACGGCGAGACUAGAGUCCUGGAGAGGGUCGUGGAAUUCCCGGUGUAGCGGUGAAAUGCGCAGAUACUCGGGAGGAACACCAAUGGCGAAGGCAGCUUGCUGGGACGGUACUGACGCUGAGGCGCGAAAGCGUGGGGAGCAAACAGG